CUGGCCACACUACAAGAUUCGAGGGUGCGAUGCUCUCUACUUUGUAUCAUUCACGUUUGCAAGAUAUUUUGAAAAUCUGAGAUUUAGAACUAACAUAAAUGCUUUUUACAUUUUUGUCAUAAAGGUUCCAGUAGUUUUUAUAUCUGCUCAAUGCGGCAAUUCCUCACAGUAGUUGCGUUGCGAGUGACAUCAACGAUACAAAUUACCCGCAGCAACAACGUAGCCUAGCAACAAAGCGUCAACAAUGGAUCCCGAGUACCUAGCACUAGGCAUUAUGCUGGCGGUCCUCUGCACAGAGACGAAAAAGAAGAAAAGAUUGUUGACUCUUGGAUUGCAAGAAGAGGAGAGCUCGGGAUGUCGGUGCUACAUACCGAACUGGAGGAGACUGAUAGGAAAGGGUUCAGUGAGUUCCUGAGGAUGAGCGUAGAGGACUUUAAACUCCUUCUGGGGUAAGUUGAGCCUCUCAUCAGAAAGACGGACACAAAAAUGAGAAGGGCCAUCAGUGCCCGACAGAGAUUGUCUGUAACCCUCAGAUUCCUUGCAACUGGUGAGUCUUUCAGGUCACUGAGCUUCCAGUACAGGAUUGGCAGGUCUACUGUUGGCUUGAUUGUAAUGGAGACCUGCCAAGCAUUGUACAAUGUUCUGAAGGAAGAUCACAUGAAGACACCAACAACUGAGUCUGAGUGGCGAGAGGAUUUGAAGAUAAAUGCCAAUUUCCUCAUUGCUUAGGUGCAAUUGAUGGGAAACACAUCUAUAUUCAGCCCCCUGCUAAUUCAGGAAGUUCGUUUUAUAAUUAUAAAGGCAGGUUCUCAAUUGUGCUCAUGGCAGUUGUAGAUGCCAACUACAAAUUCAUCUAUGCAAGUGUUGGCACUCGGGGCCGAAUGUCGGACGCAAGUCUGUUUGGACACUCAGAUCUCCGCAGUGCCAUGGACAGAGACGUGUUACAUUUUCCCCGCCCUGAGCCACUUCCCAAUACAGAAUUAAUCAUGCCCUAUAUGUUUGUUGGUGAUGAAGCCUUCCCUCUCCGUUCUGACCUUAUCAAGCCCUAUCCCCACAGAAACCUAGAUCAUGGACAGCGAAUUUUCAAUUACAGAUUAUCUAGAGCAAGGCGAACUGUGGAAAAUGCAUUUGGCAUAUUGGCAAAUAGAUUACGUGUGUUCCUAACCAAUAUUUCUAUUGAACCAGAUAAGGUUACUUGCAUCACCCUUGCCCUCCACAAGUUCCUGAGGGAAAAAUCAUCAGAGGCCUACGUGCCUCCAGUCUUUGUGGACACAGAGGACGAGAACCACAGAGUCAUUGCCGGAACAUGGCGAAGAGGUGGAGAUCAUGACUCUGCGGCAUUGAGCAGGGCGCGGAAUGCCACAACCACUGCUAAAGACCAGUGACCAGCUGAAGGCAUGUUCUCAAUCCUCUGAAGGAUCCGUUGAUUGGCAGGAGGAGGAUGAUUUGAACAUUUUAUGUAUUGAUAUUUAUUUAUUAUCAAUAGGUUUAUACUAUUUAUAAUAUACUAUAUAUUUAUUUACGCUAUUAUACUACUAUUUAUUAGUUAGUUACAACA